AGGGGUGUAGCUUAAUAGUGGAGCACCUGUUUGGCAGGCAGAAGGCCCCAGGUUCCAUCCUUGGCAUCUCCU